rnacentral:tRNA from 1 species
GAGGGUAUAGCUCAGUGGUAGAACACAUGCUUAGCAUGCAUGAGGUCCUGGGUUCAAUCCUCAGUACCUCCA